GUAGGUGGCAAGCGUUGUCCGGAAUUAUUGGGCGUAAAGCGCGCGCAGGGCGGUCCUUUAAGUCUGAUGUGAAAGCCCACGGCUCAACCGUGGAGGGUCAUUGGAAACUGGGGGACUUGAGUACAGAAGAGGAAAGCGGAAUUCCAAGUGUAGCGGUGAAAUGCGUAGAGAUUUGGAGGAACACCAGUGGCGAAGGCGGCUUUCUGGUCUGUAACUGACGCUGAGGCGCGAAAGCGUGGGGAGCAAACAGGAUUAGAUACCCUGGUGGUCCACGCCGUAAACGAUGAGUGCUAAGUGUUAGGGGGUUUCCGCCCCUUAGUGCUGCAGCUAACGCAUUAAGCACUCCGCCUGGGGAGUACGGCCGCAAGGCUG
rnacentral:rRNA from 1 species